UUGGUAUGUACGUUUCUCUUUUUUCUUUUUCUUUUUCUGUUAGUGUUUAUAUGCAUGUGGCUUACGUUGGGCAAGAAACGGGACAAAAAAUGUGAUGUUCACAUCUAUUCCGUGCAUUAGUAUCUGUCUUAUUAAGUUUUGUUGUUAU
rnacentral:sRNA from 1 species